rnacentral:rRNA from 1 species
UACGUAGGUGGCAAGCGUUGUCCGGAUUUACUGGGCGUAAAGAGCGCGCAGGCGGUCGAAUAAGUCGAAUGUGAAAGCCCCCGGCUUAACUGGGGAGGGUCAUUCGAUACUGCUCGACUUGAAGGCAGGAGAGGGUAGUGGAAUUCCCGGUGUAGUGGUGAAAUGCGUAGAUAUCGGGAGGAACACCAGUGGCGAAGGCGGCGACCUGGGCUGACACUGACGCUGAGGUUCGAAAGCGUGGGGAGCAAACAGG